GGAGCAGGGUCCUGGCAGGACCCCUCACAGGGGACCCAGGCUGGAGCAGCCUGUUCCUGAAGGACUGCACCCCAUGGAAGGGACUCAUGCUGGAACAGUUCCUGAAGAACUAGAGCCCGUGGGAAGGACCUGAGUUGGAUCUCUGUGGGAAUGACCCCAUGCUGGAGCAAGGGCAGAGUGUGAGGAGCUCCCCCACUGGGGAGGAAGGAGCUGCAGGGACCUGUGAUGAACUGACUGCAGCCCCCAUUCCCAGUCCCCCUGUGCCUCUGGCAGGAGGAGAUGGAAAAUUUGUGAGUAAAGUUGAGCCCAGGAGGAAGGGGGGGUGGGGAGAGGGGACAUGUUUUUAAGAUUUCAGUUUAUUUCUCGCUAUCCUCCUCUGAUUUGUUUGGUAAGAAAUUAAACUCAUUUCCCCAGGUUGAGUCUGUUUUGCCCAUGACAGCACCUGGAGAGGGAUCUCUCCCUGCCCUUAUCUCAACCCAUGAGGCUUUCACUGGAUUUUUUCUCCCCUGCCCAGCUGAAGACAGAGAGUGACAGAUCAACUUAGUGGGCACCUGGUCUCCAGCCAGAGUCAGCCACCACAAAAAGACAAUAUUAAGAUGACUAACUAAAAAACUUCGGUUUUGCUUCACAACUGUGGUACAAAAAUUCAUUUACACUGCUUUUAGAAAUACCUACUUUUAAAGUCAGUUUAAUCAGUGUUUUCAUUUAAAGAAAAAGACCCACUUUCUAUAAUCUUAUAAAAAAGCACGUUAGUUUUUGUCCAUUUCUACACCUGAUUUCUGCUACUUUUUCCAUCUGAUUUUUGCCUGUCCUGAUUUUUAUUAAAAUUUGCUUAUUUCCAGAAAGUGUGAAAAUGUUGAAUGGGUAUGAGUUGGUGCAAUUCCAGAAAUAAAGGAGGUCUUUAAUGCACUUACCAAAAUACGUAGAGGCUUCAUCGUUUGACAUUAAUUUUUCAGGGCUUGUGGAAGCACCUGCUGCUGGCGUGUUGAAGGAGGCAGAUGGGGACAUGCUGGACACUUCUGUUAAGCUAGUGAGCUCAGAAAAUGAAAUACCAGACAUAUCUAGAAAUCCUGAAGGAGAAAGUGAACAUUACAUCACUUUUUUAGAUACAACACAAAAUUCUAGAUUAAAAAAAGACAAGUUAUAUCCAGACUAAAGUCAGUGAAAUCCCCUCCCUGCUAAAUGCAAAUAAAUUUAACUUAUGUGGUACCUCAAUUCUACAGCUCUGAAAUCCAGGGAAGUCAAAAAUUUCAAGGAAAACAACCACCAAUGCUCACAGUUCUACAUUUAAGUCUCAAGCUUGUAUAUUCAUUUAUUUAGAUGUCCUGUAAAGAACUGCUGAAAAACCACCUAAGAAAAUAUACCUGGAUCCAUAACUCUCUGGAGAGGGGGAGGAGGAGAAAGUGAGCUUUCUGGUGAAUAACCGCUCAUUUCUUGAUCUCUGGAAUGAUCCAAGUUCAUGACUGUUUCAGAGCUGUCACUCUGAGAGGUAGGUGCCAAUAAUGGAGUCUGGAAUAAGACAGUAAGAAGGAAAAAGAUCUUUUUACAUUGAUAGGUUCACCUGAAGCCAACCUUCCUAUGAAAGCAUCCUGCCUGUUUCCAUAUACACCAAUUCAGAGAGAAUCUGUGAUGCUGAAAUUGAAAGCCAAACACCAAUUAGGACAUCAAAAUGUUCCAGUUCAGCUUUUAAAGCCAGUAUGUUCUUAGAAGAACAGUCCAUGCUCAGUUCUUGUAGGUGUUUUUUUUCCUAGUGAGGAUCUCAUUUACAGCAAGUAUAUAACCUGUCUUCAAGUGACUGUCCAGAGAUCAGUACCUUCCUUCUCCACCCCAAGCUCCAUUGGGAGUCACAACUACCUCUCGAAUGGAAUCUGCUUCAGUGUUAUAAACCAUCAGCUUCAGUGGCUUCCCCUCAUGGGAUUCAAUCAGGGAAAAGAAAUCCUCUGACUAAGAAAAAAAAAAAAA